ensembl:lncRNA novel transcript, antisense to DDN
AAAGGGAAGCUUAGAUUUAUUGAGCGCCUACUGUGUGCCAGGCAGUGUGCAAGGCGCUUUACAUACAUUAUCGCAUUAAAUCCUCACAACAACCCUGCGAGGUAGGUGUUUAUAAACCCCCAUUUGACAGAUGAGGAAACUGAGGCUCAGGGAGGUGAAGUGAUGUGGCCAAGUUCACAUGGCUAAUAAAUGGCAGACAGAGGAGGUGAGCCCUCCUUCUGCUUUGUUGGUUGUUGCUGGACCUAUGCCUCUUCUCCCAAGAACCCCUCUGUCAUCUGA